CGCCAUUUAUGGCUAUGUAUUGUGCGCCAUUAUCGCGUUGGGUGGUUCUGCCAUUGUGGACAUCGUCGUCUUCUUCAGCCGGUUUUGUUCCCCAUCACGUAAGAUUGCCAGCGUUCAGAGUUCGUGUUCCGCAUUCAGAAUAACAAUAGGGACUUAACUGAUUAGGGAAACAUGUUGAUAUUUGAAGGGUGGUGACGAAGGAGCAAGGAGGGUGAGGAGAUGGUAAAUGAAGUGGAGGGAGUGGUGAAAGGUGGUGAGGGUGCACUACAAGAAAAAUGGCCUGUCGGCAUAGUUUUUUCUUGCCACGCUUUUAAAGCGUGCCCAAAAGUGGUCUAUGGCCACGGUUUUGUGAGGGUGGCCACUUAUUUGUGAUUUGGCCACGCUUUUUUUUGCCACGCUUGAAAAGCGUACCCAUAGAGAGAAAUCGGCACGCUUUUACGAGGGUGCCACUGAUUUGAUAUUUGGCCACGCUUAAAAAGCGUGGCCAUAGAGGAAAACCAGCACGCUUGAAAAGCGUGGCUAUCCUGUGUUUAAUCUGGCACUGUACAAAAACGUACCGAUAGAGUUCCCUCCCCUAAAAUUUAGUUUUCCACCUAUUUUUUUCCACACUUUACUUUUUUUUUUUUCCUAAGAUUUCAAGUUUAACCCUAAAAGUGAUAAACUAGUUUUACAUUGUUACCAAAUUCACUUUUAACCCUAAAAUUCACUUUUAAACCCUAAACCACGUCGUCAUCUUCCUCUUCUCUUUCGCCCCCCGCCUUCGUACAUCGUUCAUCUUCAUUGCACCCAGCCUUCAUUGCCUUUGUCGUCAUCUUCAUCACUGCCCUUCAUCACACCCAGCUUUUAUCGCCUUCAUCGUCAUCUUCAUCGUUCAUUACGGUGGUCUUCCUCGAGCUUGCCGUCACCGUCAGUAGUCAUUGUCUUCCUCGACGCUGCUUUGAAAGGGUUUUGAAUGGCUUUUCCUUGAAAGGUUCAGAAAAUCCUAACCUCCAUCAUGCUGCCAUCUAUCUCACCGUCGCCACCCUUCGCGCUCAAGAUCGCAACCAGGUUCGUCAUUGUGUUAGCUAACUCGCCAUUCCUCUUGCUAUUUUGCUUGUCAUCCUUCUUGCUGUUCUGCUCGCCUCUCUUUCGCGGUUUUGCUCACCUGUCAAGGCCUUUGCCGUCGCUUCUCUCUUCGUCGGUAGCACCGCCUCUGCCUCCGUCCUCAUCCUCCGAUCUAACGGCAUUCACAAGGUAGGGUCGGGUACCCGCGGGUUAAGAGCGGGUAGGGUUAGGGUUGAGAUAUUAUCAACCCGCGGGUAGGGUAGGGUUGAGUUUAUAUAAAAAUCUCAACCUGCGGGUAGGAUUAGGGUUGGCUCCAAACCCUACCCUACCCUACCCACCCCUACUGGUUGCCAAACACCCCCUUAUGAAAUGGGUAUGGGUUGUGUUUGAAGAAGAUUGAUCAACAAAGAGAAUAUUGAUAUGGCUUAAUUUGCAAUGAAAAUGGAUGGUAUUGCUUGUAAGGUGUAUGUGACCAAGAUGCACGUGGUUUUGUAUAGUGGAAGGAAUGGUUAUAUGAUUCAGUAACUACGAAGAAUGAAUUGUUAGGGUGGUUUAUUGUUACAUGUUUAUGGUGAUGGUGAGAUGCUCUAAUUCAAAUUACAAAGAAUGACUUUUAUUAACUUAUAUAUUAUCAACUAGGAGAUAAAAUACAUAUUCUGUAUUAAGUUGUCAGAAAAGGGUUUUGUUGAUUGUAGGUUGAGUUGUGCAUUGAGUCAAAUGUGUUAUCAGGUAAUCCUGCUGAGUGAAAUACAAAACGGGCCUUAGUUUUUGUAUAUGGCUUAUUGGGUUCUAGACUUCUAGUGAUGAAAGAAGCUGUGUUACUCAGGAAUUCGAGUUAGCAAAUAUGAUUUUUACAGUUAAAGUGGGAGAAACUACGGUGUCAGAGUGUGUGUGCAUCUGUGUGUUCUUUUUUUCCCUUUAUUAUUAUUAUUUAUUUUUUCUGAGUAUGAGCUUGAAUAAUUACUGUUACAAGUAUUGAAUUUUAAAACAAUCCCUGACAACAGAGAAAAAUUGUUGUGACUUUAGAAAAUCUACUUAUAUGAUUUAGCUAUUAUACAUUUUUGGUCCACUUUUGGCUUUAUUAAUAAUCUACCAUGGCAUUCUUAGUUAUGAUAUGCAUUCUAGCAGUACCAGCAGCUCUUCAGAAAAAACUACUUUAUUUUUUGGGUUACAUUCACUAUCUAACCAUAAAGUCAAAAUUAGUGUUUAGAAAAUAAUAGAAUACACCCGUUUAAUCUGAUUUCAGUCUUGUUAUCACAGAUCACAGUCUUUUGUAGCUCAGAUGUGUGCAGAUUUCAGAACUUUUUUGUGUUUAAUCUGAUUAUGAUGAUCAUGAUCAUCAACACUGCUCCACGCUAAUGCUACCUCUUCAUUUCUAACUUUUUUUAACCCCUUUAAUUUGUCUGUUUCUAUUUUUUUUUUAUUCUUUCUCUUUGCCUAACUAGUGUAAUCAACGAGUCAAAUUAGGUUUGAUUUUGGUUAAUAACUACUAAUUAAGGUUACUACUGCUUCUGCAUGUACCACCGAGAAGGAUCAUGUCUUUCUAAUAUUUCAUUUCAUUCCUUUUCAAAAAAGGCAUAUUUAAGUUACAACCUCGAUCUAAAAGAAGGGUAGAGUUCGAUGAAUGAGGAUCCAACCUCAUGUUAUCUGCUCUAAGCUUCUCAUUUUCUGCUCUAAGCUAGCAGUGGUAAAAACAAUGGAGCUCAUAAUGGAUGAUCACACUACUCAUGAAAUUUGAUAUUUUGUAACCAAGUUAUAAAAGAAGUAGAUAUAUGACACUUGUUGGAAUUGCAAUUUUUAUUUACUUGUUAUGACUUUACUUUUUGGUACUUUAUCUUCAAAGUCUACUUUUGUGGUGACAAGUUUUAUAUAUAUGUCUUUUUUUUUAUGGGGAAGUUUAUGUAUAUGUUGGAUUAGUUUAAUAUACAUAAUUAUUUUGGUCUA